GGUGGUGUAGCUCAAGGGUAGAGUGCAUUCUUUGCAUGUAUGAGGUCCCGGGUUCAAUCCCCAGCAUCUCCA
rfam:Lepisosteus oculatus unplaced genomic scaffold TNK243, whole genome shotgun sequence.